CUCUAUCAGAGCCCUUGUCACAGAGCCAGGUCACAGUGUCCUGUCCGUCACAGUGUGUGUCACAGUUAUUGUCACAACUGUCUCUAGCACAGCCUCUAGCACGGCCCCUGUCGCAGUCUCUGUUGUCUGCUCUGCCUGUUCUCUGGGCCCUGUGGGUGGCCUGUGAGCCACAGCUCUGUCACACACCAGAAGUGGCUCAGUGACAGCAAGUUACCCUGCCUUGAAGGGAGGUGGGGAGCAGACCUCCCAGCUCGGUGUGGCUCCCUCCGUGGGCCACAGGGGGACAGAGCAGCCUCAGGCAGGACUUUCCUCUCCUGGGCCCACUGCGGGCUUCCGGGACAGGGAAUGCAUCUUCCUCUUUCCAGUUUACUCACUGCAGAGCCAGGCACAGGGAUGGGCUCCCAGGACCAACCUGAUGGUCCAGCCCAAAGUCCUGGCCUUUCUUAAGUCACUUGGAUUGGAACCCCCAGCAGGAAGUCUACCUGUUCCCGACCCCUGUCCAGCCCUGCACAGCACAUCUAGUGGAGAGCAGAGCAGAAGGUGUGCUGGGUGGACCUUGUCUAAACUCAACCAAAAGAUGAAGUUGUCCCUGGGCAUGGAUCCCCAGCUCUCGAAGCCCUUCUCAGGGGUCCUGAGCACAGCUGCCUGUGGGGCUUGUGGUCUGGCUUGGGGCUUGGAGACCCAGCCAGCUUACCAGGGAGGGAGAACUGAAAGGAAGCAUCUUGUACAGUCAGACCUCCCUUUCAUCCCAAAAGCAGUGUCAACAUGAAUAAAUGAUCGGAACUGGAUUCCAGAAGCCAAGUGUCUAAUUGGCAAAUACAGGUUUCAUUCCACCAUCUCCUCAUUCGAUGUUUUCUGAGAAUUUACUACAAACAAAAGUCUAUGGUGGGUGCAUACAGUCUUC
rnacentral:lncRNA from 1 species